CCAAUUUGGUUUUUGUUUUUUAUUGAGUUGAGUUUCAUUCGGCAAACACUAGCCACAUGAGUGUCUUACUGGGCCUCAAUGCUCACCACCUUCCAGAACCGCGGCCAGCCACCCACUGAUGCCAUUCAGGAAGUGUCCAUUGUUUGGACUGUUUCUUCCAGCACCUCAAUCUCCAGAGGAGUGAUUUUCUCAGUGAGGACUGCAGUAGUCCCUUUCUCACACCUGUACCGGCCAAGCCUGGUCCCCUUCUUGUUGGGCACUGUGUAUGGGCGGAGAAAAUCCAGCUUGUUCUUGCUGAUGACGCAGAGGUCAAUGUUGCUUCCGGAGCCCAGGUCGUUGAAGAUGCCAGCUGCGAUGGCUUCGCUCACCAGAUUCUUGGCUUCCUCCUCCUGAGAAACAGAACGGCGGCAAUAAUGUCCCCGGCCAAACUAGGGCCUGCUCUGACAUCCGCAAUGUACGUCCACUAGCAGUGCGCAAGACCUCCCGCGAGACAGGUGUUGUUUUUAAUGCCCAUCUCACAGAUGAGGAAAAGAUCUCAAAGUACCUUGAUUAUUUACCCAAAGUUCCCGACCCAGGCCUUUAAAACUUUUUAUGCAUGCACCGCCUCUUGACCACAUCAGACAAUCACCACAAAACGAUGGGCUGACAGUUACUAGAGGGUUAGUAACUUAUCUUUAAAAGGGCCAGGUAGUAAAUAUUUUAGGCUUUGUGGCCAAAAGUCUCUACCACACCUACUCAACUCUGUCACGCUAGCACAAAACAGCCACACACAAAUACAUUAAAAAAUGGGUAUAACUGUGUUCCAAUAAAACUCUAUUAGCAACAGGCAGUGGGCCAGAUCUGGCCCACUGACUGCAGUUUACUAACUAUCCCCUGAUCAAGAAUGUCCAACAAUAGCUGAAAGUUACUUGAGAAAGUCAGCACUGUAGGAGGAAGAAACUAACACCAAAACACAAGCCGGUAGUUCUGGGGAAAUGCUGGCAGACCAAGGGCGGGACCUCUUGCCCAGAAUAAUCUCUCUCUCCUACUAAGGAACCUAUAGGUUCACUGAAGUAAUCCAUUACUUUGAAUCACUCUCUCCUUUGCCCCACCUUUAAACACAAAUCCCCAUCCCUAAUAGUUACUGGUGAACAGAUGGACUCAUCCCUUUCUUAUCCGAGAAGCCCCAUCACAUGCUAUGUCCUAUCACAUGCUAUACCAGAAGCUAGGGCUGCAGAGGUGGAUGACGCCCCCAGAUCCCUGCCCCCUAGGGGCUUAAGAGUCUAGCAGGGGCACCUGACCCAAGUAAGUACAAUGCAGGGUAAGGCUGGCUAAAGAGCACGUGAAAAGGAGCUGGGAACACAGCUGGUCAGCAGAGCUUCAGGGAGGGCUGAAGGACAGGCUGCACACGAGGCACUCAGAAAACAGCAGUGAAACAGAAGGCAGGCAGCAACGGCAGUGGUACUGGACCUGGGGAACACCAAGUUCAAGCUCUAUAUACAACGAGGACAAAAAUGAACCAGGCUCCCUGAAAGCAGGGAAUCUAACCUGUGCUACGGCGCCUUCCCAGUCCACGAGGGCGUGAGAGUACAUACACAUGCAAGUGCACUCCAGCGCUCACCCAAGCAACACCCUUGGAGAAACACGGACUCCAGGCCCAAAUCCAGCCUGAGACCCUCAAAGGGCAGAUCCGCUAACCUCAAGUUUUCAGAAGAUCUGAACCCACUGGGGGCUCCUGCUCCUCUGCCUGCCCCAUGCCAGACUAGGAUUCCAGUGACAUAAGCGCCCUCUACAGACUCAGAAGGACAGAGAAGGUUCUGCUGGAAGUGGGCUCCUCAGCAAACCAGCAGAUAGGGGUUCCUUUGAUAUUUAUACCCCAGGUUUUUUCACUCUCACGUGACAUCUAUGUGGGGCCAAUGAAGCCAAUUCUUCUUUUGUACAUAUGCAGUCCUGUAAGAAUGCAUUCAAACGGGAUCCGCUAAUUAGGAAUUUUCUCCUGGAAUUCUCAACAGUCUAUGGGGCCAGAAGCUUUCCACAAACCAGUGAAGGUGGCAGCAAAGAAAGCCUCUUAGACGAGGAGCUGGCAGCAGCUGCUAUCUAGAUAGACAGCAAAAACCAACCACUAAUUCAGCAAACACAACCUCAUACCUAACCGCUUCCCUUUAAAUGGCCUUCGGUGUGUGCGCACAUGGGCACGUGCGGGGAGAACCAUACUUAUUCCCCUGUUCCCGGCCUACCACCUCUGCUCCCCCUUCUCUUCUCUACCAUUUAACUGUCUCCUCUGCUUUGUUUCUUAUCACUGCUGCUGGUGUCUAGAGCCAGCCAGCAGUACCUGGCAGACAUCGCGACCCUGCGGGCAGCGCUUAGGACUGCACAUUUACAUUUCCCAAAUGAUCUGGGUAGAUGGGGACAGGUGAAGACUUGGGGAAACGGAAAUAUACGAAUGACAUGAGACAUGCAUAUCUAGUGUCAAUCCAUUCGACUGGGCACAGGACAGCAGACUGCUGACAGUGCUAUGUAAGAUUAUGAGUGAUCCUCCCUCUAUUUUGCAAACAGUCUGUAAGUAACUGAUAAAACUUUAAAAUAUGCAAAUUUUAAAAUUAUAUAGUUUGAUUUACUCAUCAAAUUAUCAUGUAUGCUGUUAUUUAAGUAUGAAUAAAGGCUUUUUUAAAUUGGG
rnacentral:lncRNA from 1 species